ACUAUUUCCAGCGAUAGAUUGGAAAAUUUUGAAUUCACAAUCGCCAACCGGAGAAUCCAAAAUAUACUAACAUUAUACGCUUAAAGCAGUUAAAGAGUUGUAGUUUAAGUUGGCAACCAACGUUCCUUUUCCCGCGCAACGAAUUUCCUACGCCUCUAUGCCUGCGCCAGUCGGCCGGUUUCGUUUAACCUGUGUUUUGGUCGAUCAGCUAAUUGACGUUAAUUUAAAAUUUUGGUUCAAAAAGUUAAAAAGUGUGUUUUUUGCGUUUAGCGUUUGUGUUUUUUUACUUGUUUUGAUUUGUUAGGUUAAGUUGUUUGUGUCAAAAAACGUUUCAUAUGGACCCCAUGGGGGACAUUACGAAUAAAAUUCAUAAUUACGCAAGACCCUCUUCAACCCGGUGCAGUAUGACUGUUGUUGACAACAUCGUGGCACAGAAAAUGAUUGCCAAUGCGUAUUCAUCUUUCAAGAAGGAAAAUUUUAAUUUAAGAUGCCCUACAGAGGUUGUUACUUCAAU